ACGUAAGGCAUAGCUUUGUCUGGCUUUAUUUUGAAAGCCUCCGCCGGAAGCAGUGUGUGGUGUUACGGCUCGGAUUGCGUCCGGACUGAGCGGAGACUCCAGCGGGAGAAUGUGGCAUUCACGGCGAGGAGGGAAAACCCGGAGCAGCGUCCGCGGCCGAGAAAAGUCCCGAAGUCCCGAAAAACAGCGACGGUUCGGGAGAAGUGUUCGCGGGGAUUCAAGUUUAAUCUUUCCCGUUUGGAGCUGAAACAUUCCGGAUUAAAAUCACCGACCUUUGUGGAAUAUUUCAGCCCGGAGGAGAGUCUGCCAGCUCCGCGGAGUUUUCCCGAAGUGGCUCCGAAAAAAUCCGGAGGACGGAAAGUUUGAAGAGGAGGAGAACAGGAGGAGGAGAGCAGGAGGAGAAGAGCAGGAGGAGGAGAGCAGGAGUCUCACCUCCAUCACCUCCAUCACCUCCAUCACCUCCAUCACCUCCCUCACCAUCAGGAGCUCCCCUGGGCGGACUGGCAGGAUUACUGUAACGUUUGCAGAGCGUUUGCGUAACGUUUCCCGGCUGUCAGCCCAGCGUCAGAGACAGGAAGUGGACAGUCUCACCUGAGGCAGGUCCUCGUCUCCGACGCUCAGCAUGAAGCUCUGAGGAGGAGGCGGGACUUAAACAAAGCUGGUUGAAACACGAGGAGGAGGAGGAGGAGGAGGAGGAGGAGGGGGGAGGAUGGGGAAGGAGCAGGACCUCCUGCAGGCCGUGAAGAGUGGAGACCUGCUGUCCACUCAGAAGCUGCUGUCCAAGCUCAAGACCAACAGGAACAAGUUGCUCGGCUCCACGAAGAGGCUGAACGUGAACUACCAGGACUCAGACGGCUCUGAGUCAACACUGUGGUCGUAACAAAAGCUCAAAGAGCGUCGACGAGUUCGUCUGAGAGGGCCGUAAAUCCAGAUCCGCGGUCUGGAGGCGUGGUCGAGUGUUGGAGCCCUCAGAGGUCAGAGGGGAGGUCAGAGGUCAGGGAGGGGAGGGCCGGACUGAGAGCCAUUAGAUAGGAGUGUUUACAAAGAGACUGGAUGACUUAAUGCAGCUCUGACAGCCCAGUUAAAGAUCACACACACACACACACACACACACACACACCAUGGAGAUACAGGACUCCAUCCAAACAGACAAUAAACACCUGAUGGAAAAUAAAAAUCUGUGACUCGAGGAAUAAACCUCAGAAAUGUUCAGAGCAAUU